AAUAAUGUACUCUCAGCAUCUUAUAUUACCCCACAUCAACAGCUAAUGAGUGGCCACGAUAAUUAGUACUCCCUCUGUUCACUUUUUAAGACGUUUAAGACAGCUGAAAUCUUUUGUAAGACGUUUUAGGCAUUUAAGACAACACCCAAAACAGUUCAAUUUCAGCUGUCUUAAACGUCUUACAAAAGUGAACAGAGGGAGUACUACAUGACAGCUAAUAGAUUAAAUGACUAGGUUCAUUCAUACAAUGACUCAUUAACCUUACAAAUUCUUGGCUAAUAAACAUUGUUCAAAGCAACAAAGACAUGCACCUGAAUACCAACAAAUAGGAAUACCACACUGUUGCCAUGAAAUUAGGAGUAGGUCCAUAGCAAGCACCAAUUUUCACAAAAGGUGUUGUCCCAUGCUGAGCACGUGAUGCUGCACUCAUAUUCAAUGCCCAGCUGAUUGCAAUUCUGCAAAACAGGGAGUAUAAGGCAGACCCAUCAUGCCUUCAGUGCAGAUAACACUCACUUUCUGACUAUCCAAGUCGUAUGACACUGUCAUCUCCUUGUCGGUAAGGAAAAUCACAUUACAAUCUGGAUGAAAUGCAAACAUCUCAUAAUAUUGACCAUCUUUGCGACAAUGCCUUCCAAACAGUUCCAAAACAUUGACAGUAUGCUUCGGAGCCCACUUUCCAGUACCAUAAUCCUCAAGAACCCAAAUAUAGAGUUGGCAACCAUAAUGAUAACCCAUCUGCCAUGCAUACAAGCGUCCUUGAGACUGCCCAGUGUUAAAAAUAACAGUUUUUUUUGGCAAUGGCAUUGGAACCUCCCUCCAAACUUUGCCCUCCGCGUCAACAGUGACCAUUGUAUUAUAGUUAUAACGGGUAGACAAAUGCAUAGUGCCAUUCAAGAAGACACGUAUGCGUCUACUAAGAGCCAUGAGAGAUUCGGAUG
rnacentral:lncRNA from 1 species